CUGACCGUGCUUUAUCCAGUCAUAUAUAUCAUGCUAUUAAUACAUUUUAAUUAAUUUAAUUAAUUAAAUGAAACCAGUAUAAUUACCAGUUGAGUAGAUAUUUCAUCCGAUUGGUAGAUAGUCUCAGGAACUUAUUUGAAUGUCUCUCUGCAUGGAGUUAUGGUGAAAGGUGUUGUUAGUUAGAAAGUCAGUGAAAUUCUAAGUGUUAGAGUUUUAAGAGUAGAGUGUUAGUCUCAGAUGUUGUCCGAGUUGGAGUCCCCAAACUUCCAAUUCCUCCUCUCUCUUUUUCUUUCUCCUUUGCAUCUCCUGCAUCUGCCCCCUCUAUCUUCCCUUUGUCUUAACUUUUAAAGGGCCAGACUCUCUGUACGUCAUCAGUUGAUAACCCAAUAGAAGCACUAGAGGUGUGGUUAUCUUCCGGAUCGCAAUUUAGUUAUUUGGUCUAUAGAGGGCAGUCUUGUCCCACUAAACAUACCUAUCCAGGAAAGAGUUAACUUUUCCUGGUGGCUAUUUUGACGUCAUUUUGCGUUAUCUUUAUAGUGCC